ACGCACGCUGGCGGCGUGCCUAAUACAUGCAAGUCGAACGAGAGCGACCGGUGCUUGCACUGGUCAAUCUAGUGGCGAACGGGUGAGUAACACGUGGGUAACCUGCCCAUCAGAGGGGGAUAACAUUCGGAAACGGAUGCUAAAACCGCAUAGGUCCUUUAACCGCAUGGUUGAAGGAGGAAAAGAGGCGCAAGCUUCUGCUGAUGGAUGGACCCGCGGUGCAUUAGCUAGUUGGUGAGGUAACGGCUCACCAAGGCCGUGAUGCAUAGCCGACCUGAGAGGGUGAUCGGCCACAUUGGGACUGAGACACGGCCCAAACUCCUACGGGAGGCAGCAGUAGGGAAUCUUCCGCAAUGGACGCAAGUCUGACGGAGCAACGCCGCGUGAGUGAAGAAGGUUUUCGGAUCGUAAAACUCUGUUGUUAGAGAAGAACAAGUGCUAGAGUAACUGUUAGCGCCUUGACGGUAUCUAACCAGAAAGCCACGGCUAACUACGUG
rnacentral:rRNA from 1 species